rnacentral:rRNA from 1 species
GUGCCUUGAGGCGUGGCUUCCGGAGCUAACGCGUUAAAUCGACCGCCUGGGGAGUACGGCCGCAAGGUUAAAACUCAAAUGAAUUGACGGGGGCCCGCACAAGCGGUGGAGCAUGUGGUUUAAUUCGAUGCAACGCGAAGAACCUUACCUACUCUUGACAUCCAGAGAACUUAGCAGAGAUGCUUUGGUGCCUUCGGGAACUCUGAGACAGGUGCUGCAUGGCUGUCGUCAGCUCGUGUUGUGAAAUGUUGGGUUAAGUCCCGCAACGAGCGCAACCCUUAUCCUUUGUUGCCAGCGGUUCGGCCGGGAACUCAAAGGAGACUGCCAGUGAUAAACUGGAGGAAGGUGGGGAUGACGUCAAGUCAUCAUGGCCCUUACGAGUAGGGCUACACACGUGCUACAAUGGCAUAUACAAAGAGAAGCGACCUCGCGAGAGCAAGCGGACCUCAUAAAGUAUGUCGUAGUCCGGAUUGGAGUCUGCAACUCGACUCCAUGAAGUCGGAAUCGCUAGUAAUCGUAGAUCAGAAUGCUACGGUGAAUACGUUCCCGGGCCUUGUACUCCCCGCCCCGUCAAAA